rnacentral:rRNA from 1 species
UACAGAGGUCUCAAGCGUUGUUCGGAUUCAUUGGGCGUAAAGGGUGCGUAGGCGGCGCGGUAAGUCGGGUGUGAAAUCUCGGAGCUUAACUCCGAAACUGCAUUCGAUACUGGCGGGCUCGAGGCCGGUAGGGGGAAGUGGAAUUCCCGGUGUAGUGGUGGAAUGCGUAGAUAUCGGGAGGAACACCAGUGGCGAAGGGCGGCUUCCUGGACCGGGUUCUGGACACUGAGGAGCGAAAGCGUGGGGAGCAAACAGG